rnacentral:rRNA from 1 species
GACGAACGCUGGCGGCGUGCCUAAUACAUGCAAGUAGAACGCAGUUGCGAACGGGUGAGUAACGCGUCGGUAACUACCUGGUAGAGGGGGCUAACUCUUGGAAACGAUACCGAAUACCGCCUACUAGUAGAUGGACCUGCGUUGUAUUAGCUAGUAGGUAGGGUAAUGGCCUACCUAGGCAACGAUACAUAGCCGACCUGGGGAGGUGAACCGCCACAAUUGGACUUGGGAACGGGCCAGGAUUCUUCCGGGGGCAGCAGUAGGGGAAUUUCGGAAAUGGGGGGAAAGCUGGACAGGCAACGCCGGGUUAGGGAAGAAGGGUUUCCGGUCGUAAAGCUCUUUUGUUAAGGGAGCGGUACUUACCCAGAAAGGGACGGCUAACUACGUGCCAGCAGCCGCGGUAAUAC